CCGUUACGGACACGCGACUAAAUAUUACAUUUAAAAUUAUUAUGGUGUGUGUUGCUUUCGUCAUUUUCGUCUACUGUUAUUUCGUGUCCAGUGUCACAGUAAACGAUGAAAAUAUCUUUAUAGAAAUUUACAGUUUGUAUUUUAAAACUAACAGAACAAAAGACAUCAAUAUGAUUUACAGUAUGAUGAAUCUCUGUACGGAACAGGAACUAGCAUUAAAAUUGUUUACUCAGAUUCCAG